rnacentral:rRNA from 1 species
CCUACGGGUGGCAGCAGUGGGGAAUAUUGGGCAAUGGAGGCAACUCUGACCCAGCAACGCCGCGUGAAUGAUGAAGGUCUUCGGAUUGUAAAGUUCUGUGAUGGGGGAUGAACACAAUGACGGUACCCCAAUAGCAAGCCACGGCUAACUACGUGCCAGCAGCCGCGGUAAUACGUAGGUGGCAAGCGUUAUCCGGAAUGACUGGGCGUAAAGGGUGCGUAGGUGGUUUAGUAAGUUGGCGGUGUAAUUCCGGGGCUCAACCUCGGCGCUACCGCCAAAACUAUUAGACUAGAGUGUGGGAGAGGUAGGUGGAAUUCUUGGUGUAGGGGUAAAAUCCGUAGAGAUCAAGAGGAAUACUCAUUGCGAAGGCGACCUGCUGGAACAUUACUGACGCUGAUGCACGAAAGCGUGGGGAGCAAACAGGAUUAGAUACCCCGGUAGUC